CUUUGUGAUUAUAAUGGCCAGUACAAUGGAUGUUAACAGAGUGGUAUCACGCUCCAGAGCUACAGGUGGACAGCCUGUAACACAUGCAGAGAGUUACAGCCUACAUCACAUAUAAUCUUCACUCCUCUUCAAAAUUCACUUCAAGUGCUGGACAAGUCUGAAGCUCUGCUCUUCACAAAGGAUAUGGAGGAUUUGCUGAGUGGAAGAAAGAGAAGUCUGAGCCACGACAUGGAACACUUCAGAUUAUGGAAGACUGCUGAAGAGACAAACUGUUUUCUGCUAAUUUAUGUUGAGAUGCCAUUUCACUUCUAAAAGACUUGCCCAGUGAGGUGCCCAGCCUGACACAGAGAUGCUGAACACUUGGUACAGCUAAGCAUAAACAGCUCAAAGGGUAAACCAGACCUUCCAGGCAGGUAUUGGUCUGCCAGCAGUGUCCUGGCUGCCUCCAGGGCCUCCAGCCCAGCAGUUGGGUCCUUGGGACUGCAAACCCCUACGGGUCUCCUCUGACUUCCUCGUUCAUGGCUGUGCCACAGCCCUGUGUCUGGAAGACAUAAAAAUACCUGAUUUACCUCAAAGGAAUCCACAAAGGAAAUCUGAUCCUGGUGAAAUUAAAGAGGUAUUUUGCCUUUAACAUUACUGAGCUCCUUAUUUGAUUUUUUUUCACUGAAGUUUAUACCCAUACUUAAAGCACAAGAUCUUACUGAGCUUCUCAGAUCACUGUUACUGUGAAACACUUUCCUCACAGGGCUCUGAGCACAAUAUCAUUUGUAUAACCUGCUCUU